UUGAAAUCAGCACCAAUAGUGAGAUAAAAUGAUGAGACUUUGUGACCGAAGUUAAAAUGAGAUGCGUGAGGUGAAGUGUCAUGAGUUAAUGGGAGGUGACGUCACGUUAAAUGAGAUAAAGGGAGAUGAGGAAUGAUGAUAUAUGAAUUGAGCAGAAGAUAAGGUGAGGAUAAAGUGAGGUGAGGAUAAGGUGAGGUGAUGAUAAGGUGAGGUAAGGAUAAGGUGAGGUGAGGAUAAGGUGAGUUGAUUAUAGGGUAAUAUGAGGAUGAGGUAAGGAUAAGGUUAGGUGAUGAUAAGGUGACUUUAGGAUAAGGUGAGGUAAGGAUAAAGUGAGGUGAUGAUAAGGGGGGUGAAAAUAAGGUAAGAAUAAGGUGAGGUGAUGAUAAGGUAAGGUGAGGAUAAGGUUAGAUGAGGUGAGGAUAAGGUGAGGGGAUGAUAAGGUGAGGUGAGGAUAAGGAGAGGGGAUGAUAAGUUGAGUUUAGGAUAAUGUGAGGUGAUGAUAGGUUGAGGUAAUGAUAAA